CCUCAGAGUGCCAGCAGGUAGGAGUUUAAGAGCUGGCAUUAUCAGAAAUCAAACUUCCCGAAGUGAUAAGAGUACUGGAAAUGAACGAGCUGCCUGACCUUGUUAACUCAUCUGAAAAAGGAAAAAGAACAGCCUGUGUCCACUUGAUGAAGCACGGGGCAUUAAGGCAUGAGGCUUCAGGAGGGACUUAGGGAGCAGGAGCCUGGAGCAUGUCCCUGGCCCUGUCCUAUUGGCUCGUGUUCACAUCUGGCCACCAGAGUUGCAGAGGAACUCAUGUAAACCGAAUCCCUGGGACAACAAGAGGGAAGCCCGAGAGGGAAAGGUUGGGCCACACUGCCUGCCUGGCUCAGAGGUGCCCUGGAUGGCAGGCAGGUCAACAGAGGAUAUGCAGCAACGGAGUGAGGACCAAGAAACCGAGCUCCACAAGGAAAUCCCAGAAUGUUGAGAUUUGCACUUUGUCCCGCAUUCCCAGAAUACAGCUGGCUUCCUAGGGCUUUCUUUAUUUAACCAAGACGUUUUUAAGGAAAUAAACAAAAAAACAACCCACAAACACCUUGUUUAAAUGACCUGAUGUUUCCUUUGCCAAAGAUGGAAAAGAUGCAAGAAUUUCAGACGGCGGGACACAAACCUGACACUGCCAAAUCUCGGGAUGAUGAGAACGCUUUCUGAGUGGCCUUCAGUUGUCUGCUGUAAUAAACGAUGAAUUUCCCCAUUACAUUAAA